rnacentral:tRNA from 1 species
GCAGUAGUAGUUCAGUGGUAGAAUUCUCACCUUCCGUGCGGGAGACCUGGGUUCGAUUCCCAACCAAUGCA